rnacentral:rRNA from 1 species
GGGUUGUGAGGUUAAGCGACUAAGCGUACACGGUGGAUGCCCUGGCAGUCAGAGGCGAUGAAGGACGUGCUAAUCUGCGAUAAGCGUCGGUAAGGUGAUAUGAACCGUUAUAACCGGCGAUUUCCGAAUGGGGAAACCCAGUGUGAUUCGUCACACUAUCAUUAACUGAAUCCAUAGGUUAAUGAGGCGAACCGGGGGAACUGAAACAUCUAAGUACCCCGAGGAAAAGAAAUCAACCGAGAUUCCCCCAGUAGCGGCGAGCGAACGGGGAGCAGCCCAGAGCCUGAAUCAGUGUGUGUGUUAGUGGAAGCGUCUGGAAAGGCGUGCGAUACAGGGUGACAGCCCCGUACACAAAAAUGCACAUACUGUGAGCUCGAUGAGUAGGGCGGGACACGUGGUAUCCUGUCUGAAUAUGGGGGGACCAUCCUCCAAGGCUAAAUACUCCUGACUGACCGAUAGUGAACCAGUACCGUGAGGGAAAGGCGAAAAGAACCCCGGCGAGGGGAGUGAAAAAGAACCUGAAACCGUGUACGUACAAGCAGUGGGAGCACGCUUAGGCGUGUGACUGCGUACCUUUUGUAUAAUGGGUCAGCGACUUAUAUUCUGUAGCAAGGUUAACCGAAUAGGGGAGCCGAAGGGAAACCGAGUCUUAACUGGGCGUUAAGUUGCAGGGUAUAGACCCGAAACCCGGUGAUCUAGCCAUGGGCAGGUUGAAGGUUGGGUAACACUAACUGGAGGACCGAACCGACUAAUGUUGAAAAAUUAGCGGAUGACUUGUGGCUGGGGGUGAAAGGCCAAUCAAACCGGGAGAUAGCUGGUUCUCCCCGAAAGCUAUUUAGGUAGCGCCUCGUGAAUUCAUCUCCGGGGGUAGAGCACUGUUUCGGCAAGGGGGUCAUCCCGACUUACCAACCCGAUGCAAACUGCGAAUACCGGAGAAUGUUAUUACGGGAGACACACGGCGGGUGCUAACGUCCGUCGUGAAGAGGGAAACAACCCAGACCGCCAGCUAAGGUCCCAAAGUCAUGGUUAAGUGGGAAACGAUGUGGGAAGGCCCAGACAGCCAGGAUGUUGGCUUAGAAGCAGCCAUCAUUUAAAGAAAGCGUAAUAGCUCACUGGUCGAGUCGGCCUGCGCGGAAGAUGUAACGGGGCUAAACCAUGCACCGAAGCUGCGGCAGCGACGCUUAUGCGUUGUUGGGUAGGGGAGCGUUCUGUAAGCCUGUGAAGGUGUGCUGUGAGGUAUGCUGGAGGUAUCAGAAGUGCGAAUGCUGACAUAAGUAACGAUAAAGCGGGUGAAAAGCCCGCUCGCCGGAAGACCAAGGGUUCCUGUCCAACGUUAAUCGGGGCAGGGUGAGUCGACCCCUAAGGCGAGGCCGAAAGGCGUAGUCGAUGGGAAACAGGUUAAUAUUCCUGUACUUGGUGUUACUGCGAAGGGGGGACGGAGAAGGCUAUGUUGGCCGGGCGACGGUUGUCCCGGUUUAAGCGUGUAGGCUGGUUUUCCAGGCAAAUCCGGAAAAUCAAGGCCGAGGCGUGAUGACGAGGCACUACGGUGCUGAAGCAACAAAUGCCCUGCUUCCAGGAAAAGCCUCUAAGCAUCAGGUAACAUCAAAUCGUACCCCAAACCGACACAGGUGGUCAGGUAGAGAAUACCAAGGCGCUUGAGAGAACUCGGGUGAAGGAACUAGGCAAAAUGGUGCCGUAACUUCGGGAGAAGGCACGCUGAUACGUAGGUGAAGCGACUUGCUCGUGGAGCUGAAAUCAGUCGAAGAUACCAGCUGGCUGCAACUGUUUAUUAAAAACACAGCACUGUGCAAACACGAAAGUGGACGUAUACGGUGUGACGCCUGCCCGGUGCCGGAAGGUUAAUUGAUGGGGUUAGCGCAAGCGAAGCUCUUGAUCGAAGCCCCGGUAAACGGCGGCCGUAACUAUAACGGUCCUAAGGUAGCGAAAUUCCUUGUCGGGUAAGUUCCGACCUG